rnacentral:rRNA from 1 species
AGUGAACGCUGGCGGUAGGCCUAACACAUGCAAGUCGAACGGCAGCACAGUAAGAGCUUGCUCUUACGGGUGGCGAGUGGCGGACGGGUGAGGAAUACAUCGGAAUCUACUUUUUCGUGGGGGAUAACGUAGGGAAACUUACGCUAAUACCGCACACGACCUACGGGUGAAAGCAGGGGAUCUUCGGACCUUGCGCGAUUGAAUGAGCCGAUGUCGGAUUAGCUAGUUGGCGGGGUAAAGGCCCACCAAGGCUACGAUCCGUAGCUGGUCUGAGAGGAUGAUCAGCCACACUGGAACUGAGACACGGUCCAGACUCCUACGGGAGGCAGCAGUGGGGAAUAUUGGACAAUGGGCGCAAGCCUGAUCCAGCCAUGCCGCGUGGGUGAAGAAGGCCUUCGGGUUGUAAAGCCCUUUUGUUGGGAAAGAAAAGCAGCAGGUUAAUACCCCGCUGUUCUGACGGUACCCAAAGAAUAAGCACCGGCUAACUUCGUG